rnacentral:tRNA from 1 species
AAGAAGAUAGUUUAAUAUAAAACAGCAGGUUGUGGAGCUGUGAAUGGGUGUAGCCUCUUCUU